GCUGGUCUUAAAUAUAUUAGCUCUUUUGGUCUGAAUCGUCUGACUCGGUUUGUACCCGACGUGAUAAUUAUUAUCGUUGGGACGUUCUUUACUGAGCGGCCUGGUUGACUUUUGAAAGACUGCUUCUAAUUGUGCACAAGCACAAACAUGACAAACUUCAAUCUGACCUCGAAUCAGGCGGGACUACCCGCUGAACUUAA
rnacentral:misc_RNA from 1 species